CAACGUUCUCAGGGCGGGGUGUAAUUCCCCACCGGCGGUAAUGGCGCGCCAAGCGUCUAGCCCGCGAGCGCUUGCUACUGUCCUCGAUCGGGUCGGCAGCAAGGUCAGCAGACCCGGUGUGAUUCCGGGGCCGACGGUUAGAGUCCGGAUAAAGAGAGAGCGGGA
rnacentral:ncRNA from 2 species